CCUACGGGGGGCUGCAGUGGGGAAUAUUGCACAAUGGGGGAAACCCUGAUGCAGCGACGCCGCGUGAGUGAAGAAGUAAUUCGUUAUGUAAAGCUCUAUCAGCAGGGAAGAAAAUGACGGUACCUGAGUAAGAAGCCCCGACUAACUACGUGCCAGCAGCCGCGGUAAUACGUAGGGGGCAAGCGUUAUCCGGAUUUACUGGGUGUAAAGGGAGCGUAGACGGCAGUGCAAGUCUGGAGUGAAAGGCGGGGGCUCAACCCCCGGACUGCUCUGGAAACUGUACGGCUGGAGUGCAGGAGAGGUAAGUGGAAUUCCUAGUGUAGCGGUGAAAUGCGUAGAUAUUAGGAGGAACAUCAGUGGCGAAGGCGACUAUCUGGCACAUAACUGACGCUGAGGAGCGAAAGCGUGGGUAGCAAACAGGAUUAGAUACCCCAGUAGUC
rnacentral:rRNA from 1 species